UGCCCAGCAACUCCUAUCCCUACCUCCACGCGGUACCGGCCGGAAACUAUGAGCAACCUGAGGGAAGAUCGGGUAACCAAUCCCGGUGGGAACUUUGGUCGUAGGCUGACAGGGAAGG
rnacentral:ribozyme from 1 species